rnacentral:rRNA from 1 species
CUACGUGCCAGCAGCCGCGGUAAUACGUAGGGUGCGAGCGUUAAUCGGAAUUACUGGGCGUAAAGCGAGCGCAGACGGUUACUUAAGCAGGAUGUGAAAUCCCCGGGCUCAACCUGGGAACUGCGUUCUGAACUGGGUGACUAGAGUGUGUCAGAGGGAGGUAGAAUUCCACGUGUAGCAGUGAAAUGCGUAGAGAUGUGGAGGAAUACCGAUGGCGAAGGCAGCCUCCUGGGAUAACACUGACGUUCAUGCUCGAAAGCGUGGGUAGCAAACAGGAUUAGAUACCCUGGUAGUCCACGCCCUAAACGAUGUCAAUUAGCUGUUGGGCAACUUGAUUGCUUAGUAGCGUAGCUAACGCGUGAAAUUGACCGCCUGGGGAGUACGGUCGCAAGAUUAAAACUCAAAGGAAUUGACGGGGGCCCGCACAAGCGGAGGAACAUGUGGUUUAAUUCGAUGCAACGCGAAGAACCUUACCUACUCUUGACAUCCAGA